rnacentral:rRNA from 1 species
GACGAACGCUGGCGGCGUGCUUAACACAUGCAAGUCGAACGGAAAGGCCCUGCUUUUGUGGGGUGCUCGAGUGGCGAACGGGUGAGUAACACGUGAGUAACCUGCCCUUGACUUUGGGAUAACUUCAGGAAACUGGGGCUAAUACCGGAUAGGAGCUCCUGCUGCAUGGUGGGGGUUGGAAAGUUUCGGCGGUUGGGGAUGGACUCGCGGCUUAUCAGCUUGUUGGUGGGGUAGUGGCUUACCAAGGCUUUGACGGGUAGCCGGCCUGAGAGGGUGACCGGCCACAUUGGGACUGAGAUACGGCACAGACUCCUACGGGAGGCAGCAGUGGGGAAUAUUGCACAAUGGGCGGAAGCCUGCUGCAGAAACGCCGCGUGCGGGAUGACGGCCUUCGGGUUGUAAACCGCUUUCGCCUGUGACGAAGCGUGAGUGACGGUAAUGGGUAAAGAAGCACCGGCUAACUACGUG